rnacentral:piRNA from 1 species
CCCAGUACUUUUCACUGAACAUGGC